rnacentral:lncRNA from 10 species
CGAGAAGAGACUGAGCCACACAUGACUUCAGCCCUACCUGUGAUGAUGAAUUCAGAUCUAACACUCUAUCACCAGACUGAGAUCCUGGAAGGUGAGAGGAACUGUGCUUAUUCACAUCUACCUCAGCCACAGUGUUAGCAGGCCCACUACCUCUCUAGGACAGGCACCUGGGCCAGUUCUGGAGUAGACGUCCUAGGUUUGGGUGUUGCAAGAGUCUGGAAAUCCCCACAUUGGAAAGGACCACACUCCCUUCACCCUCAGGGCCUGUUUGCUCUCGCCUGGUAGAGUUUCCAGGGCAGGAGAUGCUCCCAGCUUGGCAGGGUUAAUCCAGUGCAGAAACAGCUUCAUCUUGUUAUCCAAGCCAACUUCUGGAGCUUCUGGAAGGAUGAUGCUCUUCCAAGCUGAGAAAUGAUCACAGACCAGACUAGCAGCUGGGAGACUGCAAAGAAGAAGAGAUUACCUUUUCAUGAGAAACAGCAGCUUCCACAACUUCUCGGCUUCUUCCUGUGAAGUUCUCCUAGCUGAAGAAACAGAAGAUAGUGAGUGUUAUGUGGAACUGGAGAGGAUUCAGGGACAUCCUAUAAGAAGCUGAAGGCCUUUUAAUGAGAAGAUACUGAAAACCCCAGAGUCAGAACACUAAGUCACAUCUGUGUAUAACUUAACCGUUUACGAUGUGUUGUUCUGCACCUUGUCUCAUUUGUCCUUCACCAUCACACUGGGAGUGAGGAAGGAUCAUCACAUGCCCAUUUUAUGGAGAACAAGACUGAGAGUUGAAGAGACUUCCACAGGUUUGUAAAACUAGUAAAUGACAGAGUUGAGGACUUCUGCCCUAAUUCCUCAUUCUUUAUUCUCAGGAGGAUAAGAUAGAGAAUUUUUUAAUGUGCCUAGGCUCUGAUUUUCCACCCAAGGAAGUCUUCCAUGAGAAAUUGUCCCUGGGGGGUACUAGAGUCUGCAGUGGUUAGAGCACCUGCUGUUAGCAGCAGGGGUCAUAGAGGGUCAGGAUCCGUGGGAACCUCACUCACAGCAGAAGUGAAUUAGAGGAGAGACUGGGACUUUACCUCUUGAUGUUCUAUCUCCAGACUUUUGUUGGACUCUUCGGUGACACUUAAAGACAAAAACAUUAGAAUGCAAAGCUGCUACACCAUUUUUUC